AUUGAACGCUGGCGGCAGGCCUAACACAUGCAAGUCGAACGAGUGGCGGACGGGUGAGUAAUGUCUGGGAAACUGCCCGAUGGAGGGGGAUAACUACUGGAAACGGUAGCUAAUACCGCAUACCAUCGGAUGUGCCCAGAUGGGAUUAGCUUGUAGGUGAGGUAACGGCUCACCUAGGCGACGAUCCCUAGCUGGUCUGAGAGGAUGACCAGCAACACGGGAACUGAGACACGGUCCAGACUCCUACGGGAGGCAGUAGUGGGGAAUAGUGCACAAUGGGGGCAAGCCUGAUGCAGCCAUGCCGCGGGUAUGAAGAAGGCCUUGGUGGUGUAAAGGACUUGCAGCGGGGAGGCGUUACCCUCAGAAGAAGCACAGGCUAACUCCGUGCCAGCAGCCGCGGUAAUAC
rnacentral:rRNA from 1 species